CUUGCUGGGGGAUUAGUGGCGAACGGGUGAGUAACACGUGAGUAACCUGCCCGUUGACUCUGGGAUAAGCCUGGGAAACUGGGUCUAAUACCGGAUACGACCAUCUGGCGCAUGUCAUGGUGGUGGAAAGCUUUUGUGGUUUUGGAUGGACUCGCGGCCUAUCAGCUUGUUGGUGGGGUAAUGGCCUACCAAGGCGACGACGGGUAGCCGGCCUGAGAGGGUGACCGGCCACACUGGGACUGAGACACGGCCCAGACUCCUACGGGAGGCAGCAGUGGGGAAUAUUGCACAAUGGGCGCAAGCCUGAUGCAGCGACGCCGCGUGAGGGAUGACGGCCUUCGGGUUGUAAACCUCUUUCAGUAGGGAAGAAGCGUAAGUGACGGUACCUGCAGAAGAAGCGCCGGCUAACUACGUGCCAGCAGCCGCGGUAAUACGUAGGGCGCAAGCGUUAUCCGGAAUUAUUGGGCGUAAAGAGCUCGUAGGCGGUUUGUCGCGUCUGCUGUGAAAGACCGGGGCUCAACUCCGGUUCUGCAGUGGGUACGGGCAGACUAGAGUGCAGUAGGGGAGACUGGAAUUCCUGGUGUAGCGGUGAAAUGCGCAGAUAUCACGAGGAACACCGAUGGCGAAGGCACGUCUCUGGGCUGUAACUGACGCUGACGAGCGAAAGCAUGGGGAGCGAACA
rnacentral:rRNA from 1 species